rnacentral:rRNA from 1 species
CUAAUACCGGAUAAUAUUUCGAACCGCAUGGUUCGAUAGUGAAAGAUGGUUUUGCUAUCACUUAUAGAUGGACCCGCGCCGUAUUAGCUAGUUGGUAAGGUAACGGCUUACCAAGGCGACGAUACGUAGCCGACCUGAGAGGGUGAUCGGCCACACUGGAACUGAGACACGGUCCAGACUCCUACGGGAGGCAGCAGUAGGGAAUCUUCCGCAAUGGGCGAAAGCCUGACGGAGCAACGCCGCGUGAGUGAUGAAGGUCUUCGGAUCGUAAAACUCUGUUAUUAGGGAAGAACAUACGUGUAAGUAACUAUGCACGUCUUGACGGUACCUAAUCAGAAAGCCACGGCUAACUACGUGCCAGCAGCCGCGGUAAUACGUAGGUGGCAAGCGUUAUCCGGAAUUAUUGGGCGUAAAGCGCGCGUAGGCGGUUUUUUAAGUCUGAUGUGAAAGCCCACGGCUCAACCGUGGAGGGUCAUUGGAACUGGAAAACUUGAGUGCAGAAGAGGAAAGUGGAAUUCCAUGUGUAGCGGUGAAAUGCGCAGAGAUAUGGAGGAACACCAGUGGCGAAAGGCGACUUUCUGGUCUGUAACUGACGCUGAUGUGCGAAAGCGUGGGGAUCAAACAGGAUUAGAUACCCU